AAACAAUUCACUUGGGGAUCUUGUUACAAAGUAGAUUCUGCUUUAGAAAUAUCUGGGACCCAAGGGUCUGCAUUUCUAGCAAGCUCCCAGGUGAGGGUGGU
rnacentral:pre_miRNA from 1 species